GUUAGGAAUAUUGGACAAUGGGCGAAAGCCUGAUCCAGCCAUGCCGCGUGAACGAUGAAGGCCUUCGGGUUGUAAAGUUCUUUAGCCGAUGAUUAUAAUGACUGUAGUCGGAAAAUAAGCCCCGGCUAACUUCGUGCCAGCAGCCGCGGUAAUACGAAGGGGGCGAGCGUUAUUCGGAAUCACUGGGCGUAAAGCGUGCGUAGGCGGUUUUGUAAGUUAGGAGUGAAAGCCCAGGGCCCAACCUUGGAAUUGCUCUUAAAACUGCAAGGCUCGAAUCUCGGAGAGGAUAGCGGAAUUUCCAGUGUAGCAGUGAAAUGCGUAGAUAUUGGAAGGAACACCAGUGGCGUAAGCGGCUAUCUGGACGAGUAUUGACGCUGAGGCACGAAAGCGUGGGGAUCAAACAGGAUUAGAAACCCCAGUAGUCC
rnacentral:rRNA from 1 species